CGCCAAACGCAGCUUGGCAGCGCAUCUGCUUUGGGAGCAGAGGGUCGGAGGUUCAAAUCCUCUCGCCCCGACCA
rnacentral:tRNA from 1 species